UACAGAGGGUGCAAGCGUUAUCCGGAUUCACUGGGUUUAAAGGGUGCGUAGGUGGAUUAGUAAGUCAGUGGUGAAAUCUCUGGGCUUAACUCAGAAACUGCCAUUGAUACUAUUAGUCUUGAAUACCGUGGAGGUCAGCGGAAUAUGUCAUGUAGCGGUGAAAUGCUUAGAUAUGACAUAGAACACCAAUUGCGAAGGCAGCUGGCUACACGAAUAUUGACACUGAGGCACGAAAGCGUGGGGAUCAAACAGG
rnacentral:rRNA from 1 species